rnacentral:rRNA from 1 species
AUUGAACGCUGGCGGCAUGCCUAACACAUGCAAGUCGAACGGCAGCACAGCCGUAGCAAUACGGUAGGUGGCGAGUGGCGGACGGGUGAGGAAUGCAUCGGAAUCUGCCCGAUCGUGGGGGAUAACGCAUCGAAAGGUGCGCUAAUACCGCAUGAGAUCGAGAGAUGAAAGCGGGGGACCGCAAGGCCUCGCGCGAUCGGAUGAGCCGAUGCCGGAUUAGCUAGUUGGCGGGGUAAAGGCCCACCAAGGCGACGAUCCGUAGCUGGUCUGAGAGGAUGAUCAGCCACACUGGGACUGAGACACGGCCCAGACUCCUACGGGAGGCAGCAGUGGGGAAUAUUGGACAAUGGGCGCAAGCCUGAUCCAGCAAUGCCGCGUGUGUGAAGAAGGCCUUCGGGUUGUAAAGCACUUUUAUCGGGAGCGAAAAGCGGACGGUGAAUACCCGUCCGUGCUGACGGUACCCGAGGAAUAAGCACCGGCUAACUUCGUGCCAGCCGCCGCCGUAACAC